AUGGGCUGCACUAGGAGUUAGCUUUAUGGGCUAGCACUAGGAGUUGGCUUUAUGGGCUAGCACUAGGAGUUGGGCUAGCACUAGGAGUUGGCUUUAUGGGCUAGCACUAGGAGCUGGCUUUAAGGGCUAGCACUAGGAGUUGGCUUUAUGGGCUAGCACUAGGAGCUGGCUUCAUGGGCUAGCACUAGGAGCUGGCUUUAUGGGCUAGCACUAGGAGUUAGCUUUAUGGGCUAGCACUAGGAGUUAGCUUUAUGGGCUAGCACUAGGAGCUGGCUUUAUGGGUUACCACUAGGAGUUAGCUUUAUGGGCUAGCACUAGGAGUUAGCUUUAUGGGCUAGCACUAGGAGUUAGCUUUAUGGGCUAGCACUAGGAGCUGGCUUUAUGGGCUAGCACUAGGAGUUAGCUUUAUGGGCUAGCACUAGGAGUUAGCUUUAUGGGCUAGCACUAGGAGCUGGCUUUAUGGGCUAGCACUAGGAGUUAGCUUCAUGGGCUAGCACUAGGAGCUGGCUUUAUGGGCUAGCACUAGGAGUUAGCUUUAUGGGCUAGCAUUAUGAGCUAACUUCAUCGGCUAGCACUAGGAGUUAGCUUCAUGGGCUAGAUUAUGAGUUAGUUUUAUGGGCUAGCACUAGGAGUUAGCUUCAUGGGUUAGGAUUAUGAGUUAGCUUCAUGGGCUAGGAUUAUGAGUUCGCUUUAUGGGCUAGCACUAGGAGUUAGCUUCAUGGGUUAGGAUUAUGAGUUAGCACUACUGGUUAACAUUAUAUGCAUUACAGCAUUAUAUGCUAGCAUUACUUGUGUAAUGAGUUAGCGUUCUGAGAUAGCACCAUGAACUUGCUCUAGGUUAUGAGCUAGCGUUAGCUGGCGUUAGCUAUCCUCAGAUAAAAACACAUUCCUUCAGCUAAUCAGCAAGCGUCGUCCUCAAGGCCACAGCACACACUGUUUCACACUAUCACCCGUAACACUGAUGCCGUCACACCACUGAUAACAACUAUACUGUGUGUGUGUGUGUGUGUGUGCGUGUGUGUGUGUGUGUGUGAGGGUCAUCCAUACUGUGUUGUGCCCUCUGUUAAACAUCGCCCUGUAAAACCACGUGUUAGGUCCACUGAUAAGAGUUUCACACACACACACACACACACACACACACACACACACACACACACACACACACACACACACACACACACACACACACACACGCCAAAUCUAUGUUAAAAUAAGGAGAUUGAAAGUGUCGUUAAAGACAAGGCCCUAAUGUAGUACACUAUGGGCCCUGGUCUAAUGUAGUACACUAUGGGCCCUGGUCUAAUGUAGUACACUAUGGGCCCUGGUCUAAUGUAGUACACUAUGGGCCCUGGUCUAAUGUAGUACACUAUGGGCCCUGGUCUAAUGUAGUACACUAUGGGCCCUGGUCUAAUGUAGUACACUAUGGGCCCUGGUCUAAUGUAGUACACUAUGGGCUCUGAUCUAAUGUAGUACACUAUGGGCCCUGGUCUAAUGUAGUACACUAUGGGCCCUGGUCUAAUGUAGUACACUAUGGGCCCUGGUCUAAUGUAGUACACUAUGGGCCCUGGUCUAAUGUAGUACACUAUGGGCCCUGGUCUAAUGUAGUACACUAUGGGCCCUGGUCUAAUGUAGUACACUAUAGGCCCUGGUCUAAUGUAGUACACUAUGGGCCCUGGUCUAAUGUAGUACACUAUGG
rnacentral:lncRNA from 1 species